rnacentral:rRNA from 1 species
GACGAGGGCGCAGCGUUGUCCGGAUUUAUUGGGGCGAAAGAGCUCGUAGGCGGCUUGUUGCGUCGACUGUGAAAACCCGCGGCUUAAACUGCGGGCUUGCAGUUUGAUACGGGCAGGCUAGAGUUCGGUAGGGGGAGGACUGGAAUUCCUGGUGUAGCGGUGGAAAUGCGCAGAUAUCAGGAGGAACACCGGUGGCGAAGGCGGGUCUCUGGGCCGAAUACUGACGCUGGAGGACGAAAGC